rnacentral:rRNA from 1 species
GCUUAGAAGCAGCCACUCAUUAAAAGAGUGCGUAAUAGCUCACUGGUCGAGUGACCCUGCGCCGAAAAUUCAACGGGGCUAAAUUAUACACCGAAGCUUGGGAUACCGCAAGGUAUGGUAGGAGAGCGUUCUGUAAGGAGUGAAGUGAGAGCGAAAGCGUUCGUGGACUUUACAGAAGUGAGAAUGCCGGAAUGAGUAGCGAGAAAUAUGUGAGAAUCAUAUUGGCCGAAAGUCUAAGGUUUUUGGAGGAAGGUUCGUCCGCUCCAAGUAAGUCGGGAGCUAAGGUGAGGCCUAACGGCGUAGCCGAUGCACAUACGGUAGAUAUUCCGUAACCACCGAAAGAUUUAAACACAGGGACACCUUGAAAGGGCAUAUCCCGGGAGUUGGUUUACCCGGGCGUAAGGGAUCGAAAUUUGAGUAGAGAAGUAUGUUUGGACGAGGGCGAGAAAAGCUGUGCGUAUAUUUUAGGUGCCCGUACCGCAAACCGACACAGGUGGACAGGAAGAGGAUUCUAAGGCCAACGGGAGAAGGGUAAUUAAGGAACUCGGCAAAUUGACCCCGUAACUUAGGGAUAAGGGGUGCUCAUAGGAAUAUGAGCCGCAGAGAAUAGGCCCAGGCAACUGUUUAUCAAAAACACAGGUCUCUGCCAAAUCGAAAGAUGAAGUAUAGGGGCUGACACCUGCCCGGUGCUGGAAGGUUAAGAGGAGGAGUGAGAGCUCCGAAUUGAAGCCCCAGUAAACGGCGGCCGUAACUAUAACGGUCCUAAGGUAGCGAAAUUCCUUGUCGGGUAAGUUCCGACCCGCACGAAUGGUGUAAUGAUCUGGGCACUGUCUCAAUUACCCGCCCGGCGAAAUUGUAGUACCGGUGAAGAUGCCGGUUACCCGCGACAAGACGGAAAGACCCCAUGGAGCUUUACUGCAGCUUGAUAUUGGGUUUCGGUAAUCUAUGUACAGGAUAGGCGGGAGACUAGGAAGUAAAGGCGCCAGCUUUUACGGAGUCGCCCUUGGGAUACCGCUCUUAGAUUGCUGGAAUUCUAACCUGCGGCCAUGAAACUGGUCGGGGAACAUUGUCAGGCGGGCAGUUUGACUGGGGCGGUCGCCUCCUAAAGAGUAACGGAGGCGCUCAAAGGUUGGCUCAGCACGGACGGAAACCGUGCCUCUGAGUGUAAACGCACAAGCCAGCCUAACUGCGAGGAUGACGGUCCGAGCAGUAACGAAAGUUGGAGUUAGUGAUCCGGCGGUAUGUGAAUGGAAAUGCC